CAAUAGCGUAUAUUUAAGUUGCUGCAGUUAAAAAGCUCGUAGUUGGAUUUCGGGUGGGAAUGGCCGGUCCGCCGUUCCGGUGUGCACUUGCUACGCCCACCUUGCUGCCGGGGACGUGCUCUUGAGUUCACGCUCGGGACACGGAGUCGGCGAGGUUACUUUGAGUAAAUUAGAGUGUUCAAAGCAGGCCUACGCUCUGAAUACAUUAGCAUGGAAUAACACGAUAGGACUCUGGCCUAUCUUGUUGGUCUGUAGGACCGGAGUAAUGAUUAAGAGGGACAGUCGGGGGCACUCGUAUUUCAUUGUCAGAGGUGAAAUUCUUGGAUUUAUGAAAGACGAACUACUGCGAAAGCAUUUGCCAAGGAUGUUUUCAUUAA
rnacentral:rRNA from 1 species